UAAGAAACCUGUCUGCUGCAAGACAACAGAGGAAAAGAGGAGAAAUGCAAGUGUGCUAAAAGCAAGGUCACGGGUUUACAGACAUUGCAUGGCGAAAAUGGAAACUUGUACCUCAUCAAACAAUUUGUGCCCGUUGCCUCUCAUCCUGUCACUGGGCAGCACUGGGAAGAGUCUGGCCCCAUCCUCUCUACACCCUCGCAUCAGGGAGAAAAAGGCAGAAGAAGAAAGCAGUGAAGAAACCUAGCCCCCAGUGCUGCAGAACUGAUCAAACGGACCUUCUAGGGGCCGUUCCAGCGAGCUCCCACGGAAGAUAGCCUUGAGGAACUGUAACUUGUCACGUCCCUUUGCCUCUAGGCUUGUGUGGGUGGGAAGCUACCAUGGAAAAGUCCAGUGUGCCCAGAAUAACUCAGCAAGGAGCCAGCAUAUGAAGUUUAAAUAAUUCACCCGAGGUCACACAGCAAAUCAACAGAAAACUCAUGGGCUCUGAGAGAUUCCUAUCUCAUAGUCUGUUCGUUAGCCAACACUGCCUAU